AACGCUGGCGGCGUGCUUAACACAUGCAAGUCGAACGAACCUUCGGGUUAGUGGCGGACGGGUGAGUAACGCGUGAGAAUCUGCCCUCAGGAGGGGGACAACGGUUGGAAACGACCGCUAAUACCCCAUAUGCCUAUUGGUGAAAUGAAUUUCGCCUGAGGAUGAGCUCGCGUCUGAUUAGCUAGUUGGUGUGGUAAUGGCUCACCAAGGCUUCGAUCAGUAGCUGGUCUGAGAGGAUGAUCAGCCACACUGGGACUGAGACACGGCCCAGACUCCUACGGGAGGCAGCAGUGGGGAAUUUUCCGCAAUGGGCGCAAGCCUGACGGAGCAACGCCGCGUGAGGGACGAAGGCCUCUGGGCUGUAAACCUCUUUUCUCAAGGAAGAAGAUAUGACGGUACUUGAGGAAUAAGCCACGG
rnacentral:rRNA from 1 species